AACUAACAAGGAUUCCCCUAGUAGCGGCGAGCGAAGCGGGAAGAGCUCAAAUUUAUAAUCUGGCACCUUCGGUGUCCGAGUUGUAAUCUCUAGAAAUGUUUUCCGCGUUGGACCGCACACAAGUCUGUUGGAAUACAGCGGCAUAGUGGUGAGACCCCCGUAUAUGGUGCGGACGCCCAGCGCUUUGUGAUACAUUUUCGAAGAGUCGAGUUGUUUGGGAAUGCAGCUCAAAUUGGGUGGUAAAUUCCAUCUAAAGCUAAAUAUUGGCGAGAGACCGAUAGCGAACAAGUACCGUGAGGGAAAGAUGAAAAGCACUUUGGAAAGAGAGUUAACAGUACGUGAAAUUGUUGGAAGGGAAACGCUUGAAGUCAGACUUGCUUGCCGAGCAAUCGGUUUGCAGGCCAGCAUCAGUUUUCCGGGAUGGAUAAUGGUAGAGAGAAGGUAGCAGUUUCGGCUGUGUUAUAGCUCUCUGCUGGAUACAUCUUGGGGGACUGAGGAACGCAGUGUGCCUUUGGCGGGGGUUUCGACCUCUUCACACUUAGGAUGCUGGUGGAAUGCUUAAACG
rnacentral:rRNA from 1 species